UACGGGGGGAGCAAGCGUUGUUCGGAUUUACUGGGCGUAAAGGGCGCGUAGGCGGCCAGCACAAGUCAGUUGUGGAAAUCUCCGGGCUUAACUCGGAAAGGUCAACUGAUACUGUGCGGCUAGAGUGCAGAAGGGGCAACUGGAAUUCUCGGUGUAGCGGUGAAAUGCGUAGAUAUCGAGAGGAACACCUGCGGCGAAGGCGGGUUGCUGGGCUGACACUGACGCUGAUGCGCGAAAGCCAGGGGAGCGAACGGG
rnacentral:rRNA from 1 species